CACUACUACAAAAAUGCACAUACAUAACACCUCAUACAUAACGGUUUUUUCUAAAAACCGUUAUGUAUGAUCGCAUUUUUGGAAAAGAUAACGGUUUUGACGAAAAACCGUUAUCUAUGUAGUGUUGUCUAAAUGCUUAGAUAACGGUUUGAGUUAAACCGUUAAGUUUGAGCGUUAUCUAUUAGUUACAUACAUAACGGUAUUACAAAACCGUUAAGCCGACCGUUAUCUAUGAUCAUCUUUUUAUAACGGUUAUUCCGACGUUACGAAAAACGUUAUAUAUGAGUAUUAUUUAUAACGGUUUAUUAAACCGUUAUGUAUAAGCGCUUUGAAAACUGUUAUGUAUAAACAUUAUUUUUUAAUUUUUUUAUUACUAUAUUAUAUUUAAAAAUAAAAACUAAAUUGAUUAUUCUAUAAUAUGAAUCUAUUUGUAAAUACUGACUUUAAAAAAAUUAAAACUCAUAAUUAUUUUUUUCAUUAAGUAUCAGAUAUAUAAAAUCUAAAAAUAUUUUUAAAAACCUAAAUAUCAAGAAUUAAUUAAUAAUUAAUAAUAAAAGUGAAACAAAUGAAAAAAAAAAUUGAGUAAACAAAGAUUCACCCUAUAACCUUUACGCAGCAAAAAGAAGAAACACACAACAGCGCCUAAGUCCCGCUCAAAUUUUCACGCCUAAGUAUCAAUUCCCUCUAAACAGAAGAAAACACAGCAGCUUCGCACCGCCAUCUACCGCCCCACCCGACCGUCGCGCCACCUGACGUCCCACCCCACCCCACCGUCUCUCCACCUACCGUCCUACCCCACCCCACCGUCGCACCACCGAUCGUCCCACCCCACUAUCGCACAACUGACGCCUCCGCCACCAAGCCCUCCGCAGCGCCGUCCUCUGACUCCCUCCGCAGCGCCGCCACCAAGCCCUCCGCCACCAAGCCCUCCGCAGCGCCGUCCUCUGACUCCCUCUGCUGUCGUCGACGACGAGGUCAGCGUUUCAGAGAGAGAAGGGCUUCGAAAGAGGAAGUAACUAUAUCAGCCACCACGAACAGAGUUGGGCGGAGGAAUAACAGUGGUCGUCGGAAAAAGAAAAAACAGGUUGGAAGGUAAACGGUGAUAGAGAAAUUGGCGCAGAGAUUAGCUUGAAGGGCCCUACACAACCUGAUGAUAAGCAAUGUGGCUACUUUGUGAUGAGGUUUAUGAGAGAUAUUAUCGAAGGGUCUCAAAAUACGGCAGCCUCAACUUUUCACUUGUCAUCACUGUUUAAGGGUGUUACUACUUAUUCUCAAAACCAACUGAACGAGGUUCGUGAAGAAUGGGCAAGGUGUCUGAUUAAGAAUGCAUUGGCUGGAUAGAUGCUCCUACAGAUGCUUUCCAUGAAGUGAAAUAGAGAUAUGGCAGGAGAAGUGAUGUUUUGUAAUCAAUCUUUAGAAUUAAGCACUACUAGCUAGAACUUAUGUUUUUGUAAACUGUGAUUGUACAAAUAUUUUGGAUGAGUAUAUUUUGUCUGGUGAUUGUACAAAUAUUUUGUGAAGUUAUAUGGUUGGAUGGUGGUUACAUA